AGGUCUGAUCCUGGUAGUUUCGUCCUAGAUUGCAAUAUACAGAACACACGUUUUCCUUGAUCACUAUGUGAUCUUGGCUCUAGUGUAAAUACUAUGCCUUACUCCGUCGCAGUAACCUUGCGAUAUAACGAGUUUAUGUCAACUCCGAUAACCUUGGUUCUAGCUGAUCGGUGUAUCAGGGUACCUGAAGGGAUUCUCGAAGACG
rnacentral:lncRNA from 1 species